UGGUAGAGUAGAAGAAGAAAAGGAAGAUGGAUUGAUCUUGGCUUAGUUUCCUUGUUGUGUAAGAGCUGGUUGCCACCAAAAACAGAAUAAUGGUGCUGUUCUUCUGUGCGUGCUGAACACUCCUACCCUACGGCUCUAAACUCAACAACAAGUUCAGCCUCCAAACGAUUCUCUUUCUCUCUUCCUUCAGUUAGCUGCUCAUUUGCCCUCUCCCACCCUUUAAAGUGCCCUGUGUUUUUCACACUUUCACUCUUGUACCUUUUCCUGUUCAGUGCCUGUCCCUCCCCCCCAGCUUUCCUCACGCUCUCUGCAUGUGUCUCUGCCAUGUGGUUGACUGUCCCUCUCCCUGGCCUCUGCAGUACGUGCGCUACAUGGGAAAGAAGACACUGCUGGCUCGGCAUGGACAUCCUCUCUGCACUGACCUGCACACCUUCCCUCCUUCACCUGCUCAAACCCAAACACGGCGGAUGAUGGUGGUGCUGUGACGCAGGUCAGUAAAAGGACUGUUUAUGCUGCUGUUAUGUUGUUGCUGAUGAUUUAAUGAGAGCAGAAGCGUCUGCAGAUGUCCUGRGUGUUUGCAUUUAGCCUGCAUGUGUUGCAGUUCAGAGUGACGGAGAUGAAUAUGCAUUGUGAUAGCCACGCUGUUGUGACAGGCUGGGGAAGAACAGUUGCACUCACUGACCCCUCUAAGUGAGUGCACAUGAGGAUAAAACCACUCUCCCUCCCCUAUCGGAGUCCRCCACCCCCAUCCUCCUGCUCCCCAGUGUUGUGCUUACUCUCACUUUCUCUGAAACUCCCUCCCUUUUCUUGUUUUCCUUAUUAUGUCUGUUCUCUGCUUACAUUCCCGUUUUUACUCAUCCCCUCCCUAUUCCCUGUUUUUCUCUGUUCAGCCUCUCAGUGUCGUAGCCUGUGACAGCAUGGAUGCUGUUAGGUCUGUACUUCGAAAACCAAAACAUCUGCUGGUCCUCAAACAUCUGCUUGUCUUCCCUGCUCCCAGUCCAUCUGUCAACAGGGAGUCCACAGUCGAGUGUCCUCAGCCAGUGGAGCUGAAACUUUGAAGUGCUUGUCCUCCAUGUUGCUGUUUUCAAAGGCCAAAAUGUAAUUUGAGAGUUAUUCUGGUCUUCCAGAGACCAAGUUCAGUUUUCAGGGAGACAUUGAUGCAGUUUGUCACCAUCCAGCGGCUGUGAUUGCUACUGCAGGUCACUGAGUUCAUGACAGAACUUGAUGCUCUUUGCUGGAGCUGCUGCUGUGCAGCUCAUCUACAGAUUGACAGACAUUGCUUUUGAAAAGCGAACACUGAGCCAGAUGUUAGAGGGCGUAUUCUAAUAAUAUGAUGUUUUAAAUUAUUUUGUUUAUAUAGUAGAAACUAGACCUGAAUUUUCUCAUAUCACUUAUAAAGAAAACUAGUUGCUGAAUCAUCGGGUCAGUUAUUGUUGGUAUUAUUUUUAUUUGUAGUAAUCAGUAUUAACAAAAUGAUUAAGAAACUUAACAUAUAUAAAUGUACCUGCAACCUUGUUUGCUUUUUUGCAUUUAGUUUAGUUGAAUAACCACGUGUUGUCAGUGUGGUUGAGAGUUGAAUUUUUUUCUGUAUUUAAAUAUUUAUUAGGAGCUAAAUUGGCCUAAGCACUCUGCACAAAUACCACAAGUCCUUGCUGAAGGCUUUGGAUCUGAGGUAAGAGGAGAAGCACAAGAAAAGACAAAUCAAAAACACAAUUUCUAACAACAACAUGGCAAAACCUACAAGUUUCCACCGCUGAUAAAAUGCACAGAGUUGUAAAGCUUUCCGCUCUUACACUUCAGUAUGAUAAUGAUUUUUCACCAGCGAAUUGUUUUUGACUUGGCCAAUCAGAAAAGGCCUUCAAGAACUCAACUGCCAGCUAUUAAGCAGGAUUUCUGUGGUUGAAUACUUUUGUACUUGUGCAGCAACAGUAGCUUCAUAAAGUGGCCUGUCCACACUAUGUUGCCUAAUCUAACUUCAUGGAAAUGUACUGAGUGUGGCAGCUGUGGGACAAUGUUACCACUCCAUUGUCUAAAGGCACAUGCUGAGUGUGACAUGACCUACAAUUUCAAUAAAAAUUGUUUACUUUCA